CAUAUCAAUAAGCGGAGGAAAAGAAACUAACAAGGAUUCCCCUAGUAACUGCGAGUGAAGCGGGAAAAGCUCAAAUUUAAAAUCUGGCAGUCUUCGAUUGUCCGAGUUGUAGUCUAGAGAAGCAUUUUCCGCGCUGGACCGUGUACAAGUCUCUUGGAAUAGAGCGUCAUAGAGGGUGAGAAUCCCGUCCAUGACACGGACUACCAGUGCUUUGUGAUGUGCUCUCAAAGAGUCGAGUUGUUUGGGAAUGCAGCUCAAAAUGGGUGGUAAAUUCCAUCUAAAGCUAAAUAUUGGCGAGAGACCGAUAGCGAACAAGUACCGUGAGGGAAAGAUGAAAAGCACUUUGGAAAGAGAGUUAAACAGUACGUGAAAUUGCUGAAAGGGAAACGAUUGAAGUCAGUCGCGUUAUUCAGAACUCAGCCUUACCUCGGUAUGGUGCAUUUUCUGUUUAACGGGCCAGCAUCAGUUUUGAUUGCCGGAAAAAGGUUAGAGAAAUGUGGCACCUUCGGGUGUGUUAUAGUCUCUAAUUGUAUACGGUGGUUGGGACUGAGGAACUCAGUACACCUUUAUGGUCGGGGUUCGCCCACGUUUGUACUUAGGAUGCUGGCGUAAUGGCUUUAAGCGACCCGUCUUGAAACACGGACCAAGGAGUCUAACAUACCUGCGAGUGUUUGGGUGGUAAACCCGAGCGCGUAAUGAAAGUGAAAGUUGGGAUCUCUGUCGUGGAGAGCACCGACGCCCGGACCAGAACUUCUGUGACGGCCCUGCGGUAGAGCAUGUAUGUUGGGACCCGAAAGAUGGUGAACUAUGCCUGAAUAGGGUGAAGCCAGAGGAAACUCUGGUGGAGGCUCGUAGCGAUUCUGACGUGCAAAUCGAUCGUCAAAUUUGGGUAUAGGGGCGAAAGACUAAUCGAACCAUCUAGUAGCUGGUUCCUGCGA
rnacentral:rRNA from 1 species